GACGUAGGGGGCGAGCGUUGUCCGGAUUCAUUGGGCGUAAAGCGCGCGUAGGCGGCCUACUAAGUCGGACGUGAAAUCCCUCGGCUCAACCGGGGAACUGCGUCCGAUACUGGUGGGCUCGAAUCCGGGAGAGGGAUGUGGAAUUCCAGGUGUAGCGGUGAAAUGCGUAGAUAUCAGGAGGAAUACCGGUGGCGAAAGCGACUCUCUGGACGGCAACUGACGCUGAGGCACGAAAGCGUGGGGAGCAAACAGG
rnacentral:rRNA from 1 species